AGUGAACGCUGGCGGUAGGCCUAACACAUGCAAGUCGAACGGCAGCACAGUAAGAGCUUGCUCUUACGGGUGGCGAGUGGCGGACGGGUGAGGAAUACAUCGGAAUCUACUUUUUCGUGGGGGAUAACGCAGGGAAACUUACGCUAAUACCGCAUACGACCUACGGGUGAAAGCAGGGGAUCUUCGGACCUUGCGCGAUUGAAUGAGCCGAUGUCGGAUUAGCUAGUUGGCGGGGUAAAGGCCCACCAAGGCGACGAUCCGUAGCUGGUCUGAGAGGAUGAUCAGCCACACUGGAACUGAGACACGGUCCAGACUCCUACGGGAGGCAGCAGCGGGGAAUAUUGGACAAUGGGCGCAAGCCUGAUCCAGCCAUACCGCGUGGGUGAAGAAGGCCUUCGGGUUGUAAAGCCCUUUUGUUGGGAAAGAAAAGCAGCAGGUUAAUACCCCGCUGUUCUGACGGUACCCAAAGAAUAAGCACCGGCUAACUUCGUG
rnacentral:rRNA from 1 species